rnacentral:rRNA from 1 species
GACGAACGCUGGCGGCGUGCUUAACACAUGCAAGUCGAACGGAAGGGCCCUGCUUUUGUGGGGUGCUCGAGUGGCGAACGGGUGAGUAACACGUGAGUAACCUGCCCUUUACUUUGGGAUAACUUCAGGAAACUGGGGCUAAUACCGGAUAGGAGCUCCUGCUGCAUGGUGGGGGUUGGAAAGUUUCGGCGGUGGGGGAUGGACUCGCGGCUUAUCAGCUUGUUGGUGGGGUAGUGGCUUACCAAGGCUUUGACGGGUAGCCGGCCUGAGAGGGUGACCGGCCACAGGGGGACUGAGAUACGGCCCAGACUCCUACGGGAGGCAGCAGUGGGGAAUAGUGCACAAUGGGCGGAAGCCUGAUGCAGCAACGCCGCGUGCGGGAUGAAGGCCUUCGGGUUGUAAACCGCUUUCGCCUGGGAAGAAGCGUGAGUGACGGUAAUGGGUAAAGAAGCAGCGGCUAAAUACG